rnacentral:rRNA from 1 species
ACUCCUACGGGAGGCAGCAGUGGGAAUAUUGCACAAUGGGCGCAAGCCUGAUGCAGCCAUGCCGCGUGUAUGAAGAAGGCCUCGGUUGUGAAUGUACUUACAGUCAGUGAGGAAGGAUGGAGUCGUUAAUAGCGGCCUCAUUUGACGUUAGCUGCAGAAGAAGCACCGGCUAACUCCGUGCCAGCAGCCGCGGUAAUACGGAGGGUGCGAGCGUUAAUCGGAAUUACUGGGCGUAAAGCGCAUGCAGGUGGUUUGUUAAGUCAGAUGUGAAAGCCCGGGGCUCAAGCCUCGGAAUAGCAUUUGAAACUGGCAGACUAGAGUACUGUAGAGGGGUGGUAGAAUUUCAGGUGUAGCGGUGAAAUGCGUAGAGAUCUGAAGGAAUACCGGUGGCGAAGGCGGCCCCNGCCUGACAGAUACUGACACUCAGAUGCGAAAGCGUGGGGAGCAAACAGGAUUAGAUACCCUGGUAGGCUCU